GGAAGUUUCUCACAUACUACUUGGGAAUAGCUAGCUUUCCUAAUGCAGUUUAGGGCACUAGGGACAGUGGCACUUUGGAUUUGCAGUGAGUGGUAGAAAUGAGGUUUUGAAAUUAAGUCAAGGAACAUAAUGCUGCAGGGUGUAGCUCCAUAAUUUUUAAGAAAAUGUAUUUCUUUUGUGCUUUAUUUAUAGGUAUUUCAGAGAGAUGGGAAUGAUUUGCACAUGACAUAUAAAAUAGGACUUGUUGAAGCUCUAUGUGGAUUUCAGUUCACAUUUAAGCACCUCGAUGGACGUCAGAUUGUGGUGAAAUACCCCCCUGGCAAAGUAAUUGAACCAGGAUGUGUUCGUGUAGUUCGAGGUGAAGGGAUGCCGCAGUAUCGUAAUCCCUUUGAAAAAGGUGAUCUUUACAUAAAGUUUGAUGUGCAGUUUCCUGAAAACAACUGGAUCAACCCAGACAAGCUUUCUGUAAGUGUUCUUUAAAUUAAACAACAGUUGACUUCCACGUUUGGGGUUUGGUUUUUGGUUUUUUAGAUAGGGUCUCUGUCGCCCUAUCUAAAAGGCUGGGGUGCAGUGGUGUGAUCGUGGCUCACUGCAGCCUCGACCUCCUGGGCUCAAGCAAGCCUCUCACCUCAGCCCCCAAGGAGCUGGGGCUACAGGUGUGUGCUGCCAUGCCUGGCUAAUUUAAAAAAAAUUUUUUUGAAACACAGUCUCACUGUGUCACCCAAGCUGGAGUGCAGUGGUGCAGUCUCGGCUCACUGUACCCCCCGCCUCCCAGGUUCAAGUGAUUCUCAUGCCUUAGCCACCCAAGUAGCUGGGAUUACAGGCAUGAGCCACGAUGCCUGGUAAGUUUUUUGUUGUUGUUGUUUUUUG
rnacentral:sRNA from 1 species